UCCUUCUCAAGUCCCGCCCUUUCAGCUACCCGCACUGGAGAGGAAUCGGUAGCCUAGAAAGGGCCGGCAAAAGCGCCGACGUGUUCAGAGAAGCGGAAGUAGUCAGAUUUCACUGAGAACCGUAAAGUGCGGCUGGCUGUCUCCCUUUCCGGAAAACGACAACAGCUCGGACUGUCAGUGCCGGCCUUCCUCGUGUAAGGGGAUCUGCCUGACCCUUGCUAAUUCAAUUUUUUUUCCCAUUCCGGGCCCUUCCCUAUCAUCGCCCCCUUCACCUUGGAUCAUGUUCAAGAAAUUUGGUACACGCAAAAAGCAAAGGGGGAACAUGGGCAAAGGAAGAUUUGAUGAAAAAGAAAAUGUAUCCAACUGCAUCCAAUUGAAAACCUCAGUUAUAAAGGGUAUUAAGAACCAAUUGAUAGAGCAAUUUCCGGUUAUUGAACCAUGGCUUAAUCAAAUCAUGCCUAAGAAAGAUCCUGUCAAAAUAGUGCGAUGCCAUGAACAUAUAGAAAUCCUUACAGUAAAUGGAGAGUUACUAUUUUUUAGACAAAGAGAAGGGCCUUUUUAUCCAACCCUAAGGUUACUUCACAAAUAUCCUUUUAUCCUGCCACACCAACAGGUUGAUAAAGGAGCCAUCAAAUUUGUACUCAGUGGAGCAAAUAUCAUGUGUCCAGGCUUAACUUCUCCUGGAGCUAAACUUUACCCUGCUGCAGUAGACACGAUUGUUGCAAUCAUGGCAGAAGGGAAACAGCAUGCUCUGUGUGUUGGAGUCAUGAAGAUGUCUGCAGAAGAUAUGAAGCCAUUGAAACCUAUUUUGUCUCCAGGAUUGCAUUCUUUCUUAAGCACUCUGAAAAGAACUCGUGUGCCAACACAGCUGUUUUAUAUUGAGAAAGUCAACAAAGGAAUUGGCAUUGAAAAUAUCCAUUAUUUAAAUGAUGGGCUGUGGCAUAUGAAGACAUAUAAAUGAGCCUCAAAAGAAAUGCACUUGGGCUAAAUAUGGAUAUUGUGCUCUAUCUGUGUUUGUGUCUGUGUGUGACAGCAUGAAGAUAAUACCUCUGUGGUUAUGCUGAAUAAAUUCAACAGAUGCUAAAAUUCUGUUAGCUUCAAAAAUUAUUUUAAUUUUUCUUAAACUCAAGUUAAAAUUGGUUAACAGACUUGGACAUUAUAAGGUAUCUGAUGGAUACAGACAUUUACAAGAUUGUGGUGACCUGUGUUACAGUUAGAAGUUGGUGAGAAAGGUGAGGGUGGAUAGUAAAAAGAGAGAGACCAUUUGGCUGGCUGUUAGAGCUGGGCCUCCCAAGAUAUAACAUAGGUGAAAGUUAUAGAUCCAGGGUCUGACCCUCAGAAUGAGAAACUAUUUCUCCCUAACGAAACUUAUAAGACUUGGAGAUUCCCACGUUAGAAUGUAAAUGUAUUAAUUUAUAGUGAUAAGUCUGCUUAGGGUAAGCAAUUAGUAAACACUAAGUUUCUUGGUGAACGUGGAUAAAAGUAAAAGUAAGGUUGAUAAUUUGGGGGACUAUUUCUUCUGGGCUGGGGUAAAGCUUAGAGAAAUUUUCCUGCUUCAUCAUUAUUUAGAAUGCUUAUCCAAAGCAUUUUGGAUCCAAAACCUUUCUUUCCUAGCCUGUAGAGGCGCCCUGAUAUUUUACUUCCUAUAUCCUUUUUAAGUUCUGUGUAGAAUAUUUUCCUUUGUUAUGACAGUUAUAUUCUACAACUUACCAUAUUAUACUUUAUUGUUUAUUCCUGGUAGAUAAAAGUGUAAAUAGUCUCAUCAGUAACACAUUUAUAAAUCAUCUUUCAAGUAGUCUCAUUGUAUGCUGACUUACUGGUUUCAAAUUCAUAUGUCUCCCCAUUUGGGGGAUGAGGCACCCUAUUUGAGACCUAUAGCUCCUUAUAUUCUUAAAAAGAGAAUAUCUGGGUCAUUUAUGUCCAAACCAAACUUUGAACCUUUAUUUUUGAUACUACUAAGAUAAUGUUAAUUGAUUAAGAUUACCUAUGGACUGUUAACAAUGAAAAACAAAGCACACAUAUUAGAGAAGUUAAAACCUUUAAUUGCCUGAUUUCUGAAAUAAUUUAUCUUUGUUUCUAACCACUGUUAUGGUGGGUGUAGGGAACACUUUUAAAAUAUUCAACAUCAUCAUCUAUGCUUGUUUUUCUACUAUACUGAGGUACCUUGACUGUGUUGCCUUGGUGAUGUGGACUAAAUAUGUAUGUCUCCUGCUUCCCCUGGGUCUGAGGCCUCAGGUCGUGGGGUUAAUCAGGGGUGUCACUCUACACGUGGGAUCCUGGUCAGUUUCUAAACCUUAGGUCAUGCAGGGAAGCCAAUUCAAAGAGAUUAAACUAUCAGAUAUAUCAGCCUCUUUAGGCACUGUGCUUAAAGGAAACUUAGUUCACCCACAUUCCUAAGAGUAGGAAUACAGGGAGAGCCUGUUUUCUCUCACGCAUUGUGUCUUCAAUUCAUUUUUAGUUUGAAAAUUAAUUUUGUGUCAAGCCAACCUACAAUCUAGCCAUUCCUGAGUAUCUGACACACUUUUACUCAGCCAAGGUCAGUUCGGCUCAAUGGACAUUUAUUGAAUAUCUACUAGGUUCUAGGUGAUUUGGCACAAAAGAUGAAUAAUACACAAGUGGCUCUUGCCCUUAAGGAGCUUCUAGUCUAGUGAGUAAAUUUACAUUUUUAAAAAUCCGAGUAGUAGUGACAGGCCAAUACCAAUUUAUAAAGCCAGUAGGAAAUUACUAAUGGUUUUCCAAUUUCAGUCAUCAAAAUUUGCAAAUUACACAUGAAACAAAUAUAGAAAUAUUUCUUAGAUUGUAUCUAAUGUGAGAAGGUUAAGAAAAAUCCAGAUGUCUUGGAGUUGCAACGAUUCAGCAUUCCAACUCAGAUAAUUGUCCCAUUGUGCAGUAAUAUAAAGGCCCGAUCAACCCUCUUCUAGCAGACUGUCUGUUAUAGUGGUUUGGUGGUGUUCUGUUGGCAGCUGCAUUUUUCCUUUUCUUUUUUCUUUUCCUUUUUUUUAUGUUCUGGACCCAAAACAAGCAGCUGAAUUUAUCCAGGGGUAGUCAUGAACAUUUCCAAUUCGAGGGAUUUGAUAGUCCCCAAACAGAAAGUCAUAUGGCAUUUGCAAAUAAUGAUUAUAUCCAGCCAAGUUUCCCCUCUGUAUACAAAUCGGCUACUGAGGAUAUGGUAUUUCUAAGCAUAGUACUUCAGAAGAUAUAAGAAUGGCAAAUGACUAAAUUUUCAGAAGUAUUUCAUUAUAGUAAAUAUUUCACUUCUUUUGUUCAUGAGAAUAAUGUAGCAGUUAUAUAUUAAUGGGAACAUGAAAUGAAUGUAUACCCAAACUGUGGUAAAUAUUUUAACUUUGUUUAUCUAGGUUCCUUAAUUUUGCGAAUAUCUCUCUCAAGGCUCUUCAGGAAACUCAAAAUGUUCCAAUUUCUAAAGGAGUAUCCACUAAAACUGAUUUAUAAUGAAAGAAAAAAAUGAUAAUGCAUCCUAUGUCAAUAUGACCGUCACUUCUGAGGUCUCAAGCAAUCAGAAACUUACUCAAGUUAUUCAAUAACCUGUAAGAAUUAGGCCAUUAAAGCCCUUCAGAAUUAAUCUUUAGUGUGUUAUUAACUGUAUUAAGGCAGUAAAAAUUAGACUAAAUAUAAUUGUAUUCUUAAUAUCCUAGUCUCAGCAAUAGUUCCUAAAGAAAUCAUGACUGUCAACAUGGAGACUGAUGCAUGUAAAUGUAUACUUUGUAUUAAUCUGUUUUUACACUUUGUAUGUAUACUUUAUUAUACUUUUUUUUAUCAGGUAAAAGAAUGAGUAGAUAUAAUGAACUAUAACACCAAUUUGUUUAAUAUUGUAUUAAAACUAAAACUAAGUAUUUGUAAAGGACUACAACUCUGUCAGAAUAGGAGUGAAUGAACGGGAUUGAGAACCAGUUUUUAAAUUUAUGUUGAGACUGUUAGGCAGGUUGGUUGGUUGGUUGGUCUAAGAGGCUGGCCUCUUGGAGAACAUAAUUUAUGUAUGGAAAGGGAUACAAGAGAUAAUGAUUCACUGGAAUUUCUCCUAAUAAUAUCAUGUUCAUUAGAACAGGUAAUGGGGAAGUAAAAUAGAUAAAAACAUCCAAACUAAUCAGUACUAUUAAUAUUUGCCUCUUGGAGUGAAAAAUUAAAGAACACCAAAUUUUAUCCUUGAACACUUUGAGAAAUAAAAAAUUAGUGAAAUAAUUUCUACUUAAAACCCUAGUUGUUACAGAGAAUGAUAUGCCUCACUAUUGUCCAAUUCUAAUUAAAUGGAUUAUCUUAUACAUUUUUAAAAUCCCAUUUUAAAAGUAAAACAAAUCAUGAUUUGCACAUCAUAAUUUUUAUUGCUCUUCCUGUUCCAUUCCCCAAUUUUAAAAUACUUUAAUUUCAGCCAAUAUGUGAAUAUAGAGGACUUCUAAGGCAUAAUCAUUUACUUGACUCUGUUCAAGUUCAUUGGUAAGUGUUCUCAGAACCCUACCAUAGAGGGGAAAAACCCCUCAAUUUAAAAGAUACAAAGAUUUAAUUUUCUUCUAAUUUUAUUUUAAUUUUUUAUCAUAAGACUUGCUUGUCAAUAAGUAUUAACUGUCAUUUAAUCUCUUAUGGUGAAAUAAGUAAUUUCUUCUGAUUUUCACAAGCAUAUGAGCAAAAGACUGUGUUCUAAGCAGUAAAUCAUUUAAGCACUCUCUUGGAGCAAGUGCCCUUUCUCCAAACAUAUGCCUUGAAAACAAAUCAAAUGCAGUUCCCUUUUUGCCUCAGGGAAAGCCUUAUUGGGGAGACUUUUGAGGUUGGGCAAUCCAUUUUUAUUCUUACCAACUUCUAUCUAUUUCAAAAGGGGACAUUUUCUGUCUUUGUCCUCAAGUGCUGGGGUUGUCCAUCUCUUUUGAUGCAUGAUGAAGCCCUGAGGCUUGGAAACUUGCAAACCAAUAAGAUGAUUUUGUGAUGAAACUGCCUGUGAGAUUGAUACUGUCUAUUAAUAGGCCUUGAAUGGGGCCGGCCUCUUGGUUUAGUGGUUACGUGUGUGCACUCCGCUGCUGGCGGCCCGGGUUCGGAUCCCCGGUGCACACCGAGGAACCGCUUCUCUGGCCAUGCUGAGGCCGUGUCCCACAUACAGCAACUAGAAGGAUGUGCAAUCAUGACAUACAACUAUCUACUGGGGCUUUGGGGGAAAAAUAAAUAAAUAAAUAAAUAGUCCUUGAAUCAACUUAAAUUUGAGACAACUUUUAAAAGCAGCAUGCCCUUUCUUCUAGUUUUGCUUCCCUGUCAGUGGGGCUUGAAAUGUCUGUUUCUGCAUACUGAUGUUUUAAGAAAUCUUUAGCUUCUCAUGAUCUGAAAGAUUUUUAUGCACUUCUUAGUCUGGAUACUGUUUUCCUCAGUUCUAAUGCUGCCCUAUUCAGAAUUCAUUUUUUAAAGCCAAAAUUCACUGUUCACUUAAACAUCUGGACUAGAUUGGGCAAGGUGAGGAGGAUGGGAGGAGAGGUUUUUUUUUCCCUGUAGGCUCUGGACAGCUUUCUUAGAGAGUUGACUUAUCCAGGAUUAGGAGAAAGCAUGCUUUUGCAUGACUAAGAUCUUUCUAAAAUUUGUUUUUGUAAGCAUUUUAGAUUUAAGAAAGUUCAACCUGACAUGUAUUUGAAUAUGGAGUAUAAACAGCUUCAUUUAGUGGGAUAACAGCAAUCUCUAACCCAUCAAAUGAAUAUCUGUCUCCUAAAUAACUUUCAAAAAGCACAUGACUAGAAAAUAUUUUUCAGUGGCAAUGCUUUAUUCUGUUUUAAAAAUAGUAGGGGCUAGGGGGCCAGCCCGGUGGCAGAGUGGUUAAGAUCACGUGCUCAGCUUCAGCGGCCUGGGGUUUGCGGGUUCAGAUCCCGGGCUCAGACCUAUGCACCGCUCAUCAAGCCAUGCUGUCGUGGCAUCCCGUAUACAAAAUAGAGGAAGAUGGGCACAGAUGUUAGCUCAGGCCUAAUCUUCCUCAGCAGAAAGAGGACGAUUGGCAAUGGAUGUUAGCUCAGGGCCGAUCUUCCUCACAAAAAGAAAAAAAAAUAGGGGCUAAAAUGUAAUAAAAACUUGGACACUUAUACUGCACUUAUUUUGUGUUUUACAAGUUAAAAAUUUUAUGUUUUGUAAAAUGUUUUGAAAGGAGGCCACAAAGUAAUUCUGCUUUCUUGCUCCCAAGUGCAGAGGUCUGAGAGAAGGCACAUGGCCUCAUUCGCUUCUGGGUGUUGUCAAACCCAGUUCUCGCUCAAGUACCAAAUGCCCAGAUGCAUUUAAUGGGGAUGCAGGAGUCGCACUUAAGCAGUAGUUUUUGCUGAUAUAAAGAGAAACAUCUUGAUUAAAGUGGAGGAGAUAGAAACUGUACCAAUUUGGGCAAUUUUGGCUCCAAUAAUGUCUAAUUUGCUGUGAAAGGGGAACGUGUUCUAAGUUAAUGUUGUUAAAAGCAACUUCUGAAUUUCUCCUUAAAAAAUAUUUAUAAAAAAGCUGUUUGAGGAAGAGCUGUUUUACUGCAUGGCACAGAUGUUAUCUUAAAACAGUUAAGGAGUUCCCUUGUGAAUUUGAAUAUUCAAUACCAGCUGUUAGUCACACCAGUAUUUUAAUAUUUUAUCAUCAAGCUAUUUAAUAAAGAGGAAUCAUACAUAUUUAUCUGUGUAAAGUGCUAGCUAAACUUGUUCAAAUGGGUAAGAAGGAAAGGGAAAUAACAUUCCCUGAGCACCUACUAUAUGCACAAGUUCAACUUACAUACCUUGCUUAAUCUUUAUGAUGAUUCCAUGAGGUAGAUUUUAGUUCUUAUCUUACAAAUGAGGAAACUAAGGCUCCAGAGGGUUUGUAUAACUUUCCUGAAGAUAUAUAGCUAAUAAAUGGCAGAAUUGGGAUUUGAACCUAGGUCUGCCUGAUUGCAAAGCCUGUUUUACAGAAAAUCUCCCCUCAUUUCAUAAAAUGUUAACCUCGGCCCACGGUCACAUCACUAUCUUUGUUUAUGAGUUAUUAGAGAAAAGUAUAAGUUGGCCAAGCCUCUGUUCCACAGUGGGAAAAUAUGGGUAGGAUCUGAAUGUGAUAAGACUGGGUUGCUUGCAGUGUCUUAUUUGUGCUUCUGAGGGAAUGUUUUUCUGUUUCCCUCUUCAUCAUCAGCGUAUACUGGGAGAAUCUUUUGAAAUUGGACUCAGUCCUGAGGUCUGCACUUUUUCUAUUAUUAGUCACCUUCAAGCCAGGUGAUUUGUUACCAUUUAAAGGUUAUGCCAUUUAGAAGCCUUUGCUGGAUCUUUUUAGAAAAGGAUACAAGGGGGAGGGUUAGUUAAGAAGUGGGGAGAUUAUAGAGUGUAAUGUGCAAAGGCAGGACUAGCAGCUCCUUUGAGAUUAUCAAUAUAUCCAAAAUAUAGAUGGGGAAAAGGAUUAGUGAAUAUUAAAAUUAAUGACAGGUGCAGUUUGGUUUAGUAAUAAUCUAAGGAAAAAAGCUGAGGGGUUUAAUCUACAUUUUGCUCCAGAUCCAAUGAUUUAAUUUUGAGAAGGAAGAUCCAGUGAUUGAACUCAUGCAAGGAGAUGGCCUGGGGCCUGCUAAAAGUCAGGUUGCAAUUUCUAUAGCAUUCAAGACAACCAGAAAAAUAAAUACUUUUAGAAGAAACUUCAAGUUUUCUCCCAUUCACAUGUCAGCCCCUCGCCCCCAACGCAGGGUGGGGGUGGGGUCUAACACUUCUGGAAUUGGUUAGACCUGUGCUGUAAUUGUAAAAUACAUACUGGAUUUCAAAGACUUAAUAAAAAAAGAAUGUAAACUAUUUCAGUUUUUUUCUGUUGAUUACAUGUUGAAAUGACAAUAUUUUGGAUAUAUUGGGUUAAAUAAAA